UGGUCAAGUCUGAUGGUACCUGUUUCC
rnacentral:piRNA from 1 species